AACGCACAUUGCGCCCUGUGGUAUUCCGCAGGGCAUGCCUGUUCGAGCGUCAUUACACCACUCCAGCCUGGCUGGGUGUUGGGCGUCCGCGGUCCGCCGCGCGCCUCAAUGUCUCUCGGCCGCGCCGACCGUCUCCUAGCGUUGUGGCAUACAUUCCGCUCCGGAGGCCGGCCGUCGCGUCGCCGUCGACCCAAACCUUUCUUCAGGUUGACCUCGGAUCAGGUAGGGAUACCCGCUGAACUUAA
rnacentral:misc_RNA from 1 species